rnacentral:rRNA from 1 species
GAUGAACGCUAGCGGCAGGCUUAACACAUGCAAGUCGAGGGGUAGAGGCUUUCGGGCCUUGAUACCGGCGCACGGGUGCGUAACGCGUAUGCAAUCUGCCUUGUACUGGGGGAUAGCCCAGAGAAAUUUGGAUUAAUACCCCAUAGUAUUUUCGGUUGGCAUCAACUGAGUAUUAAAGUUUUUCGGUACAAGAUGAGCAUGCGUCCCAUUAGCUAGUUGGUAUGGUAACGGCAUACCAAGGCUACGAAGGGUAGGGGUCCUGAGAGGGAGAUCCCCCACACUGGUACUGAGACACGGACCAGACUCCUACGGGAGGCAGCAGUGAGGAAUAUUGGUCAAUGGUCGCAAGACUGAACCAGCCAUGCCGCGUGCAGGAUGAAGCAUCUAUGGUGUGUAAACUGCUUUUGUACGGGAAGAAACACUGCUACGUGUAGCAGCUUGACGGUACCGUAAGAAUAAGGAUCGGCUAACUCUGUGCCAGCCGCCGCCGUAAUAC